GCAAGGUUGUGAAGUUGUAUUCA
rnacentral:siRNA from 1 species